rnacentral:rRNA from 1 species
GGGGAAUAUUGCGCAAUGGGGGGAACCCUGACGCAGCCAUGCCGCGUGAAUGAAGAAGGCCUUCGGGUUGUAAAGUUCUUUCGGUAUUGAGGAAGGUUGAUGUGUUAAUAGCACAUCAAAUUGACGUUAAAUACAGAAGAAGCACCGGCUAACUCCGUGCCAGCAGCCGCGGUAAUACGGAGGGUGCGAGCGUUAAUCGGAAUAACUGGGCGUAAAGGGCACGCAGGCGGUUAUUUAAGUGAGGUGUGAAAGCCCCGGGCUUAACCUGGGAAUUGCAUUUCAGACUGGGCAACUAGAGUACUUUAGGGAGGGGUAGAAUUCCACGUGUAGCGGUGAAAUGCGUAGAGAUGUGGAGGAAUACCGAAGGCGAAGGCAGCCCCUUGGGAAUGUACUGACGCUCAUGUGCGAAAGCGUGGGGAGCAAACAGGAUUAGAUACCCUGGUAGUCCACGCUGUAAACGCUGUCGAUUUGGGGGUUGGGGUUUAACUCUGGCGCCCGUAGCUAACGUGAUAAAUCGACCGCCUGGGGAGUACGGCCGCAAGGUUA